GACGAACGCUGGCGGCGUGCCUAACACAUGCAAGUCGAACGGUAAGGCCCUUUCGGGGGUACACGAGUGGCGAACGGGUGAGUAACACGUGGGUGACCUGCCCCCUACUCUGGGAUAAGCCUGGGAAACUGGGUCUAAUACCGGAUAUGACAUGUUCCUGCAUGGGGAUGUGUGGAAAGUUUUUCGGUGGGGGAUGGGCCCGCGGCCUAUCAGCUUGUUGGUGGGGCGAUGGCCUACCAAGGCUUCGACGGGUAGCCGGCCUGAGAGGGCACACGGCCACACUGGCACUGAAACACGGGCCAGACUCCUACGGGAGGCAGCAGUGGGGAAUCUUGCACAAUGGGGGCAACCCUGAUGCAGCGACGCCGCGUGAGCGAUGAAGCCCUUCGGGGUGUAAAGCUCUUUCGGCAGGGAAGAUGAUGACGGUACCUGCAGAAGCAGCUGCGGCUAACUACGUGCCAGCAGCCGCGGUAAUACGUAGGCAGCGAGCGUUGUUCGGAGUUACUGGGCGUAAAGGGUGUGUAGGCGGUUGUUUAAGUUUGGUGUGAAAUCUCCCGGCUCAACUGGGAGGGUGCGCCGAAUACUGAAUGACUUGGAGUGCGGGAGAGGAAAGUGGAAUUCCUGGUGUAGCGGUGAAAUGCGUAGAUAUCAGAGGAACACCGGUGGUGUAGACGGCUUUCUGGACCGUAACUGACGCUGAGACACGAAAGCGUGGGUAGCAAACAGGAUUAGAUACCCUGGUAGUCCACGCCCUAAACGAUGCAUAUUUGGUGUGGGCAGUUCAUUCUGUCCGUGCCGGAGCUAACGCGUUAAAUAUGCCGCCUGGGGAGUACAGUCGCAAGGCUGA
rnacentral:rRNA from 1 species